rnacentral:ncRNA from 1 species
GCAGAGUAGAUUAUGAUGCGUUAAGUGCCCGGUGUACAGGGAGUUGACACCGGGACGAAAAUGGCGAAAGCUUUUGCGGUAUCAUAGUCGCAUCCCGCUGC